rfam:Mustela putorius furo unplaced genomic scaffold scaffold00056, whole genome shotgun sequence.
AGCUUCGUGCAAUGGCAGUAUCAUAGCCAAUGAGGUUUAUCCGAGGUGCGAUUAUUGCUAAUUAAAACACCAGAACCAUCUUUCUCAACAUGAUUUUUUUUAAACUUCCUUUUGCCACUCGCCUUUUAAUCUUUUCCUCUUUCUGGAA